UGUAAAAAAGAAAAACAACCCACCCACACCAAAAGAAAACAUUUAUCAGAAGGAAAACAACACAUGGACAGAGGUUUUGGAGGAUACAAAACCCCUUCAAUCAAGUGUUUUCAGUCUUCCAAGGAUGAAGAGGCUGAAUCUGGCUCGGGUAAUUGUAACAUUCAAACGCUGAAGACUUGCCAGAAACCUAGGAGACAUGACAAAAUGAAGCUCCUGAACUACUUCUUGGAAGAGACUUAACAGUGGUGAAUUACUCUGGCAGAAUAUGAAGGAAAACCUGCUAAAUCAUGCUUCGAGAUCAAAAAAGCACAACCCUUGCAAAAGAAAAUAUUCAUGUUGCAAGCAUGAGAUUACCUAGCCUGUUUCCGUGGGAUCACAAACCAAGACGCUGAAACCUACAAAUAAAUGUUAAGUGUAUUCUUGAACACUGAUUUCUGUUAGAGCUUCUUCCCCAACAAAUCCUCAGAGUGGAAAAAAACAAAAACAUCUCUCAGUUAUGAAACUUAUAUUCCUCCCCUAAUGAAAAAGUUCCCCAAAUGCACAGCUUAUUCUGUACUAACAAAGUUUGCAAUUCAAAGACAAGUCUCUGCACAACUUAAUUUGAAUAGAUCCAACAUCAGUGCCUAAUAGCACGGUGAUGAUGCUGCUGAUCCACAAUACCUGCAGUAAAGACUACAGAAGUCACAGAACCACACCAGAAGAUUUGACCACUGAGUGAAAAAGGACAGAGGAAGGGGAGCAGACCCAACAGCACAGAUGAUUUAGAUCUACAGGUCUUGAAGAAGAAAAAAAAAAAGUGGUUUUGAAAGAACUUCAUAGUCUUAACAGCAAAAAAGAU